rnacentral:rRNA from 1 species
AUUGAACGCUGGCGGAAUGCUUUACACAUGCAAGUCGAGCGGCAGCACGGGGGCAACCCUGGUGGCGAGCGGCGAACGGGUGAGUAAUACAUCGGAACAUGCCCAGUCGUGGGGGAUAACACUUCGAAAGAAGUGCUAAUACCGCAUACGUCCUGAGGGGGAAAGCGGGGGAUCGCAAGACCUCGCGCGAUUGGAGUGGCCGAUGUCAGAUUAGCUAGUUGGUGGGGUAAAGGCCUACCAAGGCAACGAUCUGUAGCUGGUCUGAGAGGAUGAUCAGCCACACUGGGACUGAGACACGGCCCAGACUCCUACGGGAGGCAGCAGUGGGGAAUUUUGGACAAUGGGGGCAACCCUGAUCCAGCCAUUCCGCGUGAGUGAAGAAGGCCUUCGGGUUGUAAAGCUCUUUCGGCAGGAACGAAACGGUGAGCUCUAACAUAGCUUGCUAAUGACGGUACUUGAAGAAGAAGCACCGGCUAACUACGUG